rnacentral:misc_RNA from 1 species
CUGCCAACAUUCGAUGCAACGAAGCUCAUAUAUUUGAUUUCCUACUUGUGUAUGUACUCAUGCUGCAACUUAAAUCCUGAAAGUAAUGAGUAUUCUAUGAUGUAUGAACCUUGAUUUUUCUACAUGGGUCAUGGUAAGAAUGAGGGAAGGAAAUGACUGUGCAAAGUAUAUGAUCACUUUCUGUUUCUUUCCCUCAUUCUUUAUAUGAUAACUUGAAAUCCUAAAUCCAACUGUAACUCCUUUAAAGUAUCAUUUUUCAAGUUGCUUCAUUAAUUCUCUUCUAGCAGGCAUUGAAGAUGAUCUUGGAACACUUUCCAUGUAAAGAAUCGUUGUCUUUGGUGGAGAAAUAGAGGCUGACGGUAGGAGGAGUGGAGUACCAACUCUACUUGAAGUUUCAUUAGCAAUUGGGGCAGGACUAUUUGAUUUGGUAGAAACUGGCUGCAACUCAACUUCUGCGUGUGUAUUAGCAGCAGUCUCACCAACAUCGAGAUAGGGGUGAUCAUCUUCCUCAAGAGACAAUACUGUACUUGUGUCUGUGUGUAUGGUAGAAUCAUCAGUGAAAAUACCAUGCCUUCUUUUCCUUCUAGCUGCCUUUCCCCAUCCGUGGAUUGUCUCCCUUAUCCUUUGUGGGAUUAGUGCUGCCUUAUAAUUUGUCCCCAUCUGUGUAACCAGUGCAUAAAGAGGCAAGGUGCUGUAGCUGCAGAGAAAUUGUCCAGCAAACCCCAAAAUAAGUCGUAUGUACACCAGCAAGUGGUUCCUAAUAAAGCAGGAAUUGUAACCAAAUUGCCACCAGAACCAAAAGAAUGAAGCCAACUCAAAUGCAUUCUGGAAGAGAAUAAAAUGGAUCAAGGACAGCAAAAGUUCUGGCUUCUUGAACCAG